UACGGGGGGAGCAAGCGUUGUUCGGAUUACUGGGCGUAAAGGGCGCGUAGGCGGUCAGCACAAGUCAGUUGUGAAAUCUCCGGGCUUAACUCGGAAAGGUCAACUGAUACUGUGCGACUAGAGUGCAGAAGGGGCAACUGGAAUUCUCGGUGUAGCGGUGAAAUGCGUAGAUAUCGAGAGGAACACCUGCGGCGAAGGCGGGUUGCUGGGCUGACACUGACGCUGAGACGCGAAAGCGUGGGGAGCGAACAGG
rnacentral:rRNA from 1 species